CCUGCCUGCUCCCGAUGGGUCAUCACAGGCACGCCAGGGGGGUGUGGUUGCCCAGCCCGGUCCGGGAUCCCCCUCCUCAAGUCCGUGUCUAUCUGGGUGCGCUAUGUUACUCUCCCAUCCCUGCUACUCCCCCCAUAGUGUUCCCGUAUCCCCCGACCCCAUGUUAGCUCUCUGUUCUACGCUUGUCAUGAGCUAGCCUACCGGCCACCUGGCCACCAACCCUUGGUAUUUACAUCGACAUUUAGUACUUGCGUGCAUGAUAUUAGGGUCUAGUUAAGUUCAAGUGUCCUCUCCUCCGGCCCAGCUUAUUUCAGCGUGGUGGAGUAGCCCGUCUCAAGUCCAUGGUGUGCUCGUGAGUCCUGUGCCGGGUGUUCAGUGUAGGCAGGGAAACUCCGUCUCCGUUGUUGUAGUGUUCUCCGUUGGAUGCUGUCU